rnacentral:rRNA from 1 species
UACAGAGGAUGCAAGCGUUAUCCGGAAUGAUUGGGCGUAAAGCGUCUGUAGGUGGCUUUUUAAGUCCGCCGUCAAAUCCCAGGGCUCAACUCUGGACAGGCGGUGGAAACUACCAAGCUUGAGUACGGUAGGGGCAGAGGGAAUUUCCGGUGGAGCGGUGAAAUGCGUAGAUAUUGGAAAGACCACCAAUGGCGAAGGCACUCUACUGGGCCACAACUGACACUGAGAGACGAAAGCUAGGGGGAGCAAAUGGG